rnacentral:rRNA from 1 species
UUAAAUUGAAGAGUUUGAUCAUGGCUCAGAUUGAACGCUGGCGGCAGGCCUAACACAUGCAAGUCGAACGGUAACAGGAAGCAGCUUGCUGCUUUGCUGACGAGUGGCGGACGGGUGAGUAAUGUCUGGGAAACUGCCUGAUGGAGGGGGAUAACUACUGGAAACGGUGGCUAAUACCGCAUAACGUCGCAAGACCAAAGAGGGGGACCUUCGGGCCUCUUGCCAUCAGAUGUGCCCAGAUGGGAUUAGCUUGUUGGUGAGGUAACGGCUCACCAAGGCGACGAU